AUAGGUCUAGCUUAACGGUAAAGCGACGGAUUCCAAACCCGUUAGAUGUGAGUUCGAAUCUUACGGCCUGUA
rnacentral:tRNA from 1 species